rnacentral:lncRNA from 1 species
CGGUGCACACGUCCUUGAAUUCCUAAGGUACCCACAUACAAUACACACCCUUUUUAACUAGUUUUACACACCAUGCACCUCUUCUUUCUCUUUUCUUUCUUUUUUCUGAUAUAUGUAUCUUCCCUGAGAAUCAAUCUUGCUAGAACCAGAUAGCAUAAGAGAUUACCAACAUGACAAAGUUCUUCAUCUGAUACAUGGAAAGGAUACUUUUGUCAUUCGUGGUAAUUUCAUCUGAGUUAUACCAAGAUUGUUUUCCUUUCAUUAUACAUGUGCCUGUUUGUUAUGAAUGCAAACUUUUUUUUUUUCGUUUUUUUUUGGUAAUUACUGCUGUGAGUGUAGGUACCUGGAUCAAUUUGGGAAGACGAAAGUGCACACACCGAUCUGCCCCUUUUACGGGCACCCGAACCCUCCAGCACCUUGUCCAUGUCCUCUUAGGCAAGCUUGGGGGAGCCUUGACGCUCUGAUUGGACGUUUGCGUGCAGCUUUUGAGGA